CAAUAGCGUAUAUUAAAGUUGUUGCAGUUAAAAAGCUCGUAGUUGGAUUUGUGGCGUACGGUGUGUUCCGGGCACUUGUUGUCUGAGUAACCUGCUGUUGCCAUCCUUGGGUGGAACCUGUGUGGCAUUAGGUUGUCGUGCAGGGGAUGCCCAUCAUUUACUGUGAAAAAAUUAGAGUGUUCAAAGCAGGCUUAUGCCGUUGAAUAUAUUAGCAUGGAAUAAUGAGAUAGGACUUUUUUGCUAUUUUGUUGGUUUGCACAAGAAGGUAAUGAUUAAUAGGGACAGUUGGGGGUAUUCGUAUUCCAUUGUCAGAGGUGAAAUUCUUGGAUUUUUGGAAGACGAACUACUGCGAAAGCAUUUACCAAGGAUGUUUUCAUUAA
rnacentral:rRNA from 1 species